ensembl:lncRNA
CUCAUUUUCUCACCUGAUGGGCUGGCAGAGCCAAAGCUGAUUCCCACUGUGUGGAGGAGAAAACCUGAGAUGGAGCUGGCGAUUGGGAUCGCUCAAGUUCAUGUGGCAGGAUGCAGAGCCCAACAGAUCAGGAGUCGACUACCACUUAAAAGAGAGGUUGUUGCUCAUAGUUCCCAAGAGGAAGGGGCCCUCCACACCAUGCAGGACCACCUGCGGAACCACCAAGGUUGGUCACGAGGCCGAGGAAAGGAAAAAUGUGGACAAGAACUCGUCCUGUGGUUUCUGUGGAAAGGAGCGGGUGAGGCCGGAGAAAGGAGUGAUCAAACUCACGUAGAUGGCACACACACACAGAACUGCGGUUCUUAGCAAGAGGACCUGAGGAGAAAACACCUGGGCGCCCUGGGUCUGCUCACCCUGGCACACUGCUCUCACCAUAGCACCUACUCGACACAGACAUUUUAGGUCCAACCUCAGCUUCUCAGCUGCUGGGGUUUCCCACCUAGUCCUCCUGGUCCAGUACCAAUGAAGGAUAUCAUGAUGUUUCUAAAACAUGGGCAUCUUUUUAUUUUAUUCUGCC